UACGAAGGGGGCUAGCGUUGCUCGGAAUCACUGGGCGUAAAGCGCACGUAGGCGGACUCUUAAGUCGGGGGUGAAAUCCUGGAGCUCAACUCCAGAACUGCCUUCGAUACUGGAAGACUUGAGUCCGGGAGAGGUGAGUGGAACUGCGAGUGUAGAGGUGAAAUUCGUAGAUAUUCGCAAGAACACCAGUGGCGAAGGCGGCUCACUGGCCCGGUACUGACGCUGAGGUGCGAAAGCGUGGGGAGCAAACAGG
rnacentral:rRNA from 1 species